GAUGAACGCUGGCGGCGUGCUUAACACAUGCAAGUCGAACGAAGAAUUUAGGACAGUUUACUUCGGUUUGAUGUUCUUUAUGACUGAGUGGCGGACGGGUGAGUAACGCGUGGGUAACCUGACUUGUACUGGGGGAUAGCAGCUGGAAACGGCUGGUAAUACCGCAUAAGCGCACAAUGUUGCAUGACAUGGUGUGAAAAACUCCGGUGGUAUAAGAUGGACCCGCGUCUGAUUAGCCAGUCGGUGAGAUAACAGCCUACCCAGGCGACGAUCAGUAGCCGAGCGGGGAGGGUGACCGGCCACAUUUGGGAUGCGGCACAGCCCAGACUCCGACGGGAGUCAGGAGUGGAGAAUAUAGCAGAAUGGAGGAAACUCUGAUGCAGCGGCGCCGCGUGAGUGAAGAAUUGAUUCGUUAUGUAAAUCUCUAUGAGCCGGGAAGUUAGUGACGGUACCUGAUUAAGAAGCUCCGGCUAACUACGUG
rnacentral:rRNA from 1 species